rnacentral:rRNA from 1 species
AGAAAUCUCACCAGGCCCGGACACCGCGAGGAUUGACAGACUGAGAGCUCUUUCUCGAUUCGGUGGGUGGUGGUGCAUGGCCGUUCUUAGUUGGUGGAGCGAUCUGUCUGGUUAAUUCCGAUAACGAACGAGACCCCAACCUGCUAACUAGCCCUCGGGUCCUGCUUCUGUUGGGCCCGACGGAAUGAUUCGCUUCUUAGAGGGACUCGCGGCGCCUAGCCGCACGAAGGGGGGCGAUAA